rnacentral:ncRNA from 2 species
CUCUUAUCCAGAGUGGUCGAGGGACUGGCCCGAUGACGCCCGGCAACCGGCUUUUAUAAGCAGUGGUGCUAAUUCCAGCAGGAGAAAUCCUGGAAGAUGAGAG